GCAACAGCUCAAAUUUGAAAUCUGGCUUCGGCCCGAGUUGUAAUUUGCAGAGGAUGCUUUUGGUGCGGUGCCUUCCGAGUUCCCUGGAACGGGACGCCACAGAGGGUGAGAGCCCCGUAUGGUCGGACACCAAUCCUGUGUAAAGCUCCUUCGACGAGUCGAGUAGUUUGGGAAUGCUGCUCUAAAUGGGAGGUAAAUCUCUUCUAAAGCUAAAUACCGGCCAGAGACCGAUAGCGCACAAGUAGAGUGAUCGAAAGAUGAAAAGCACCUUGAAAAGGGGGUUAAACAGUACGUGAAAUUGUUGAAAGGGAAGCACUUGUGACCAGACUUGGGCCGGGCGGCUCAUCAGGGGUUCUCCCCUGUGCAUUCCGCCCGGUACAGGCCAGCAUCGGUUCUUACCGGGGGAUAAGAACGGCAGGAACGUGGCUCCCUCUCGGGGGAGUGUUAUAGCCUGCCGUACGAUACCCUGGCGGGGACCGAGGUUCGCGCUUCCGCAAGGAUGCUGGCGUAAUGGUUACUAGUGACCCGUCUUGAAACACGGACCAAGGAGUCGUCCAUUAGAGCGAGCGUUUGGGUGUAAAACCCGCACGCGUAAUGAAAGUGAAAUUAGGUGAGAGCUUCGGCGCAUCAUCGACCGAUCCUGAUGUUCUCGGAUGGAUUUGAGUAAGAGUUUUAACGGACGGACCCGAAAGACAGUGAACUAUGCUUGUAUAGGGUGAAGCCAGAGGAAACU
rnacentral:rRNA from 1 species